rnacentral:rRNA from 1 species
UGCGUAGGCGGUCCUCUAAGUUUGGUGUGAAAUCUCCCGGCUCAACUGGGAGGGUGCGCCGAAAACUGGAGGGCUUGAGUGUGGGAGAGGUAAGCGGAAUUCCUGGUGUAGCGGUGAAAUGCGUAGAUAUCAGGAGGAACACCUGCGGUGUAGACGGCUUACUGGACCACGACUGACGCUGAGGCACGAAAGCGUGGGUAGCAAACAGGAUUAGAUACCCUGGUAGUCCACGCCCUAAACGAUGCAUACUUGGUGUGAGCCGUUCAUUCGGUUCGUGCCGGAGCUAACGCGUUAAGUAUGCCGCCUGGGGAGUACGGUCGCAAGGCUGAA